AGUUUAUGCUUUUGAUUCGCAAGAGAAAUUCAAUUUUGCGAGAAAAUUUAAUUGAUAACUUUUUAAGCGUACAUAUGUGUGACUCAUUUCCUCGUCAUAAUUUGCUAUAAAAGCACCAAUUCGCAGAAGAAUUUCAGUUCAUCUACGGCCAUAAAGCGAUUGGUGCACAUAAAUCUCUUCUAUAGUUGUGAAAAACGUCAACGCAAAAAAUAUUUGUUUCAAAAAGUGUAAUUAAAAAAACUAACAAAAUUAUGAAACAAAUUAUUGGAAUAUUUAUAGUGGGAAUCGCUCUCUGCGUAAACGGUGUAUACAGUGAAUCUCCUGCUCCUGCUUCUGUCCCUACUCCUAAUGUCAACUCAAAGGAUGAAUGGCAUGUGAACUGUACCUCGACUCCAGUCGAUGGAGCCAAUGUGAAAUGUAAAAUGAACAACACCAUCGACGUGGACUGUAUUCAGCGGAAUCAAAACAUUACUAUACUGAACUGUGAAUCUGUAGGCAAAACACAAACAUACAAUUUAAGUUGUACCACUUCAAAAACAGAUAAACAGAACAUCUCAUACAAUUGUGUUCAUGUUCACGCCAAAGGAAAUUCCCCCACAACACUUUUACCAAACCAAUCAACAGGAAAACCAACAGCCGCACCAACCUCCAAACCAACCACACCGGAAACUAAUGGUGCAGGGCCAUUAGUAUUAUCAGCUAUAACUCUAAUGUUUGCAUUGUUUCUUUGCCUUGAAACAGGAGCUUGAAUUUUAUUAUUAAAAUAUUCAAUAUAUUCUAAUAAUUGGUUCUGUCAUACAAUGUCCUGACACAAUUUUAAUCCACAUCACGUUAAAAGUUAAUCUCUGAUUGGUAUUGUUAUAUCGAGAGAAAAAAAUGUAUUAAAACAUGAUUGAAACUUAUCCUACGAAAUAUUUGUUUAUGUACUGCUAAUUAUGAUUUGUUUGAAGUCUUCAGAAGAAUGCUGUUGAAACCGGCUGUUAUUUUCCGAACUAAAAAUGGAAGGCUUUAUUUCCAAAUUUUGAAUUUUGAGUCAUUAACUCAUAAUUCCAUUUUGAUUUCGUUUAUAACAUCCCUAUUGUGCUCAUUAUUAGAUAUCUCAUUGAUUUCGGUACUGUUGAUUAAAAUAAAUAAACUUAGUUUAGAAAGUGUUCAAUUGAAUAAAAUUUGAUUUCCCGUCUAGAGAUGCUAUGU